CAGAUGGCAGAAGAUCUUUAGGAUUCCACUAUGGAAUAAAAUAGCAAAUUAUUGAAAUAAGGCAUUCCUAACAAUAAUCGUUCUACUGAUCGUUUUGUUUCUUGUUCAAACACUUUUUUGGAGAGGAGGCAUUUAAACUUUUGUGUGCAGACUUAGUAACUUAUACACAAUAAUACAGUAUUGUGAUGAUGCAAGAGAACAAAUGGAACUUCAGCCAGACCACUUCUUGGUGCCAUCCCAUCAGAAAUUACAAGCCAAGUACGAUUAAGAUGCUAUUAGAGAAGUGAAGAAAUACUCAACUUCACACGGGACUGAAAAGGCUGCAAAUAUCAACCCCAAUGCCUAUGAUCAUAUUCAGAUGAAACUCUUUAGGUCACAAAGAAACCUUUACAUCUCAGGAUUCUCCCUGUUUCUCUGGCCUGUACUGAGACAUACUACUCACCCUUAUUACUCAGUUGGCAAAAGAGAUGGGAAUUCAGGUAGAUAUGGAAAUUUAAGUAGCAAAUACCGGUACUAACAAAGCUGCCAGAAAAUACAUGGAGGAGAAUGAAAAGUUGCAACAGGCAUUGAAGAAAAAGGGAAGUGUCAAAAUGAACAGGCCCUAGAAGAAGACAAUAAAAAACAGAGGAAAGAAACUGAAAAACUGAAAGCAGAAUUAAAGAAAACUUUGAAUGGCAACAAAUGAAGUGACUGCAGUUAAAAAGCAAUCUGAAGGCCUUAAAAGAGAAUAUGAUCACCUUAUGAAAGAACAUGAACGGCUGCAGGACCUCCUAGAUGAAGAGGAGGACAAGAAAGACCAGUAGAAGCAAUUCAGGAAAGACUACUUUGAUAUAACUGCAUCAGUGUGAAGUCUCUUGUUCUUCUCUUUAGCCUCCUGAAGUAGAUGGAAGCAUAUAAAUGGAAAUUUUCCAUCUGCACUAACAACUCAGAUGAUCUCUAUCCUUUUCCUCUCAAAAAUGGUAAAAGAUCAUGCACAAUAACACCAAUUGCUUGUAACAUUUGAGUGGUUUUGUAAAUCACACCAAACCAUGAAAACAUGGUGACUUUAACCCCUUUUUGCCAGUGACUAUCAGGAAUCCUAUGAAAUUUGAUUACUUAUGGGUUAAAUAAGACUAAAUAUUUUUCAUUUUCCAUUCUACUUGUGUAGAAGGAUUUGAUUGACAAUAAGUAAAAAUAUAAAAGGUAGAUUUCUAAAUCCACCUUACACUAGUUUGUUUUUUCUCAUUGUGCCACACAGAUGGGUGUGUUUCACAAUUAUCUAUUUUGCAUGCCUUUGGGUUAUUCUUUUGGAGUCCUUCAGAAUUUUUUGUCAUAAAAAAUAGUAUUGGUCAGGGUUUUAUUAUUCCCUGAUUCACUUGUACAAGGAUUUAAAUCUAUUGUUUACUUUGUGUGUGUGCCACUGAGCUUUCUUGCUUUGCAAAGUGUAAAAUUCUUUGAAGAAUUUAUGUAUAAUUUACUUAUACUGAUGAAAAGCAAUUCAUGGUUUAAGGAGUAAUUAUACAAUACCUCAAAAUAAAUAUACAUUGUUUUUGCAUUAUCUGUUUUUUGCAUCUGACAGCUAAAUUCUGAGUAAUUUUUGCAUUAGUGAUUCAAAUUUUGUACUUAGAAGUUGGAUAUGAUUGUUAUAUUAAAGGGAUUGUUUAAGCUUAUGAGUUUGUGUGUUUGUGGAAAAUGUCCAUUUUAUCUGAUAAACUGUCUCCCUUAAAAUCAGUUUAUAAUUAUCCAUAUGAAGAACAAAACAUUUUCAUAACAUUACUAUUUCACUUGCCUUGUCCAAUAAAUAUGUAUGUUUGAUGCUAAGUGUUUUUAAAUUAAUACAGACCAGAGGGUUAAAAAAUUAAUGUUAAUGGAAAAGUUCAGAACAGACCAUCUGAACACAACAUGCCAUAUAAGGAAGUAUGUGCUCAGCAAAGUUAUUCAGCCUAGCAGGGAGGUUAGUGGCAUAUGCUGGGG